GCGGGGAUAGCUCAGUUGGGAGAGCGCCAGACUGAAGUCAACUUCAGGACCUGAUAUCUGGAGGUCGUGUGUUCGAUCCACACUCACCGCA